CUUUUGUUUUAAUAUCAGUUUUAUUUUAUAUAUUAUUAUUAAAACAAAUUACAAAUAAGAAAACAAAAAUAGAAAUAAUCACUACUAAAACACAAACAAUGAACAUAAAUUUAGAAUGUAAUACAAUAUACACACAACAAGUAACGAAACACUCACAAACUUAAAAAUCUCAUUCACCAUAGAACAUUCCGAAUUGUGCCCAUAUGUGUUUGACUAAAUCUGCUUGCAAUUUGUGAUGUACAUUUGAAUCACGCAAAUCGGAUCUAGUACGCACAUGAUUUGAAAAUAGGGAUAGCACUUUGAUCGUGAAAUGUUUGUUAUGUAUUUGACCCACUUGCCUCAAAUUGAUCAUAAUAUGUCCAAUGUUGAGCAAAUGUCUCUUGUUCAUUCUCAACAAUCAUAUUAUGCAAUAUGAUACACGAUCUCAUGAUGAUAGUCAAAUCGGAUAUAUCCCUCAAGCGAGCUGGUUUGCGAAUAAUUUUAAAUCAAUUAUGCAGCACUCCAAAUGCAUGUUCGAUGUCCUUCCGACAUUCUUCUUAAUGUUGUGCAAUAACUUAUCCGGUUCACUUUAAGGUAGCCUAAUCGAUUUGACGAAAGUAGGAUAAAAAUGAUAGAUACCAUCAACUAAAUAAUAAGCCAUAUUAUAUGGACGUUUGUUCACAAAGAAAUUCACUCUUGGAAUAUUUCCUUGUUCAACAUCAUCGAACACCGGCGAAUGAUCUGUGUCCAAAUCAAAUGAAAAUAGUCUCUAUUUAUAAAGAAUGAAAAAUUAUAUAUUUUAUAUA
rnacentral:sRNA from 1 species